AUGUGGAACAUGUAUCCUUGCCACAGGGGCACAGCUUUCUGGGCCAGAGGUAGACACACCUCAAAGGGGAAACGAUUCAUAAUUAUGGCUGAGCCAAAAGAAGCUACCUUUUGGGAAUCUGUAAUUGAGAUUCUGAGGGACUGGCUAAGUUUGUGGCAAGCCAAAAAUACAUCAACACAGAGAAAGCAGGUACUACGUAUAUCUGUACACACAUGUGUGGCCACUGGAGGGGGUCUCUUUGAAAGCACUGACUUUCUGCUAACUGCUGCUGGAUGUUAGUGCAUACAGAUCCAAUUUUGACCUAUGAUCUAUGACCUUCCAACAUCCUACUAGACAAUGUGGGUUCACUCUGAUAUCUCAAUAGCUUACACAAAGCAAAUGCGAUGGUCACAAACUCUUGUCCCUUCAACAAGAGGUGACUUACUAUGCUAACCCAGGAGGGCUCGUCACUGCAAACAACUCACCUGCAUCAGGAAGAGAUGACCCCUGCAGGUGGUUGGAGCAUCAGCUGGCAGCUGCCUGGACAUUUCUUUUGCUGAAAAGCUCCCUGACAUCAGCUGGCACCUUGCAUAUCUGCCUGUUGCUCAAAUGUAGAGUGAGCUGUGAGGUGUCCCAUGACAAACUUGUCCCCCUGCUGGAUAAACUACUGAAGUCAGGGCCAGGGUUGGCACUGACUGGUUUACUUGAUGAUGUGGAAAUAUUUCCUGUUGCUCUCCAUGUCCCUGAUUUGUUGGAAAUAUUCAAAAUGAGAGAAGGAGGAGAGAGUGGGGAUGAAGGACUUAAGCUCUGGAUCCAAGUCCUGGCUGAGCUACUUAGGGCUACAUGAUUUUUGAAAAUGGAAGUAUAAUCGACCUAUGUAACACUGUGGUAGUUUCAGUUGCACAACACAGAGUUGAGAUACUUCUAUAAGUAUGAAAUGAUCAUCAAGAUAAGUCUAGAUGCCAUCUGUCACCACACAAAGUUACUCCCUAGGCUGUACAUUUCAUCCCUAUGACUCAUUUACUUUGUAACUGGAAGUUGGUACCUCUUUUUCUUUGACUAUGCCUGUAGCAUGUGGAAGUCCCGGGCCAGGGAUUGAAUCCUGUAUCUGUAUCUAUAUAUUUUCAUUUAUGACAACGUAGAUGAACCAAAAGGGUAUUAUGCUUAGGGAAAUAAAUCAUGUAAAGACAAAUACCUAUAUCUUAGC
rnacentral:lncRNA from 1 species